CGUAGGGGCAAGCGUUAUCCGGAUUUACUGGGUGUAAAGGGAGCGUAGACGGCUGUGCAAGUCUGAAGUGAAAGGCAUGGGCUCAACCUGUGGACUGCUUUGGAAACUGUGCAGCUAGAGUGUCGGAGAGGUAAGUGGAAUUCCUAGUGUAGCGGUGAAAUGCGUAGAUAUUAGGAGGAACACCAGUGGCGAAGGCGGCUUACUGGACGAUGACUGACGUUGAGGCUCGAAAGCGUGGGGAGCAAACAGGAUU
rnacentral:rRNA from 1 species